rnacentral:rRNA from 1 species
UGAAUACGAGACGCUAAGGCGUCGAAGUAGUGUAUGUCAUACUUCCAAGAAAAGCUUGCACUGUCAUAGAUAAAAAACGCCUGUACCAUAACCGACACAGGUGGGUAGGUAGAGUAUACUAAGGGGCGCGAGAUAACUCUCUCUAAGGAACUCGGCAAAAUAACUCCGUAACUUCGGGAGAAGGAGUGCCUUAUUCGUAAGGUUGCAAUAACAAGAUCCAAGCAACUGUUUAUCAAAAACACAGGUCUCCGCUAAGUCGUAAGACGAUGUAUGGGGGCUGACGCCUGCCCAGUGCCAGAAGGUUAAAGAAGUUGGUUAGCAAUUGCGAAGCUGAUAACUGAAGCCCUGGUGAACGGCGGCCGUAACGAUAACGGUCCUAAGGUAGCGAAAUUCCUUGUCGGGUAAGUUCCGACCCGCACGAAAGGCGUAAUGAUUUGGAUACUGUCUCGGAGAGGGGCUCGGUGAAAUAGACUUGUCUGUGAAGAUGCGGACUACCUGCACCAGGACAGAAAGACCCUAUGAAGCUUUACUGUAACUUGAAAUUGAAGUUGGACUUUAUUCGCGCAGUAUAGGUGGGAGGCGUUGAUUAUAAUCUUGUGGGAUUAUUGGAGCCAUCAGUGAGAUACCACUCUUGUAAUGUUAGAUUUCUAACUUUGAAUCAUUAUCUGGUCAAAGAACAGUUUCAGGCGGGCAGUUUGACUGGGGCGGUCGCCUCCUAAACGGUAACGGAGGCGUACAAAGGUUUCCUCUGAACGGUUAGAAAUCGUAUCUAGAGUGUAAAGGCAUAAGGAAGCUUGACUGUGAGACCUACAAGUCGAGCAGGGACGAAAGUCGGUCUUAGUGAUCUGACGGUACUGAGUGGAAAGGCCGUCACUCAACGGAUAAAAGUUACUCUAGGAUAACAGGCUGAUCUCCCCCAAGAGUUCACAUCGACGGGGAGGUUUGGCACCUCGAUGUCGGCUCAUCGCAUCCUGGGGCGGUAGUACGUCCCAAGGGUUGGGCUGUUCGCCCAUGAAAGCGGUACGCGAGCUGGGUUCAGAACGUCGUGAGACAGUUCGGUCCAUAUCCGGUGUAGGCGUUAGAAUAUUGAGAGGAGCCUUCUUUAGUACGAGAGGACCGAGAAGGACAUACCUCUGGUGUACCAGUUAUCGUGCCAACGGUAAACGCUGGGUAGCUAUGUAUGGAGUGGAUAACCGCUGAAAGCAUCUAAGUGGGAAGCCCACCUCAAGAUAAGUAUUCUC